rnacentral:rRNA from 1 species
UAAGGAAUAUUGGUCAAUGGACGCGAGUCUGAACCAGCCAUGCCGCGUGAAGGAUGAAGGUCCUCUGGAUUGUAAACUUCUUUUAUCUGGGACGAAAACAGGAUUUUUAUCUCAAUUGACGGUACCAGAGGAAUAAGCACCGGCUAACUCCGUGCCAGCAGCCGCGGUAAUACGGAGGGUGCAAGCGUUAUCCGGAUUUACUGGGCGUAAAGGAUGCGUAGGCGGAUACUUAAGUUAGAUGUGAAAAUCCCGGGCUUAACUUGGGAACUGCAUUUGAAACUGGGUAUCUAGAGUGCGGGAGAGGAAAGUGGAAUUCCUAGUGUAGCGGUGAAAUGCGUAGAGAUUAGGAAGAACACCAGUGGCGAAGGCGACUUUCUGGACCGUAACUGACGCUGAGGCAUGAAAGCGUGGGGAGCAAACA